UACGAAGGGGGGCUAGCGUUGCUCGGAAUCACUGGGCGUAAAGCGCACGUAGGCGGCUUUCUAAGUCAGGGGUGAAAUCCUGGAGCUCAACUCCAGAACUGCCUUUGAUACUGGAGAGCUUGAGUCCGGGAGAGGUGAGUGGAACUCCGAGUGUAGAGGUGAAAUUCGUAGAUAUUCGGAAGAACACCAGUGGCGAAGGCGGCUCACUGGCCCGGUACUGACGCUGAUGUGCGAAAGCGUGGGGAGCAAACAGG
rnacentral:rRNA from 1 species